rnacentral:rRNA from 1 species
UACGUAGGGUGCGAGCGUUAAUCGGAAUUACUGGGCGUAAAGCGCGUGUAGGCGGGUUUCCAAGUCAGAUGUGAAAUCCCCGGGCUCAACCCGGGAACUGCAUUUGAAACUGGGAGUCUUGAGUAUUGGAGAGGAAAGCGGAAUUCCUGGUGUAGAGGUGAAAUUCGUAGAUAUCAGGAGGAACACCGGUGGCGAAGGCGGCUUUCUGGACGAUAACUGACGCUGAGACGCGAAAGCGUGGGGAGCAAACAGG